rnacentral:rRNA from 1 species
GAUGAACGCUGGCGGCGUGCCUAAUACAUGCAAGUCGAGCGAACGGACGAGAAGCUUGCUUCUCUGAUGUUAGCGACGGACGGGUGAGUAACACGUGGAUAACCUACCUAUAAGACUGGGAUAACUUCGGGAAACCGGAGCUAAUACCGGAUAAUAUUUUGAACCGCAUGGUUCAAAAGUGAAAGACGGUCUUGCUGUCACUUAUAGAUGGAUCCGCGCUGCAUUAGCUAGUUGGUAAGGUAACGGCUUACCAAGGCAACGAUGCAUAGCCGACCUGAGAGGGUGAUCGGCCACACUGGAACUGAGACACGGUCCAGACUCCUACGGGAGGCAGCAGUAGGGAAUCUUCCGCAAUGGGCGAAAGCCUGACGGAGCAACGCCGCGUGAGUGAUGAAGGUCUUCGGAUCGUAAAACUCUGUUAUUAGGGAAGAACAUAUGUGUAAGUAACUGUGCACAUCUUGACGGUACCUAAUCAGAAAGCCACGGCUAACUACGU